CAUAAAUGCUGCCUGUCCAUGAAGGGGAGGAAAUGAGCUGUGCCCUCCACUCAGAACCCAGAGGAUACGACAGCUGCUCCAUAUGACACCUCUGCUACUGGUGAGACUGCAUCUUCAGCUGCCCCUGAAGAAACUUCCACUGUUGCUGAAACCAGUACCACCACCACAACUACUGGGACCACACAUGCUGCUCACCACCCUUCACAGAGUAAAACUUUCUUGCCAUGGUUUAAAACGGCCUUUCAGCUAGACUAGAUGGGUGAGGUGGAAUCAGCCUGAGUCUUCUGCAUCUGGUCCUAUGGGGUUAGGCCAUAACAUAGUCUUGUUUGAUAACAUCCAACUACUUACCUUGCCUUCUGUAUAUCCCUCAUGUCUAAUCAGUUUUUCUUCUUUCAAAUAAAUAAUAAUCAUUAGCAAC
rnacentral:lncRNA from 1 species